rnacentral:rRNA from 1 species
UUCCUCAAUCGAGUGGCGAACGGGUGAGUAACGCGUGAGGAACCUGCCUCAAAGAGGGGGACAACAGUUGGAAACGACUGCUAAUACCGCAUAAGCCCACGGCUCGGCAUCGAGCAGAGGGAAAAGGAGCAAUCCGCUUUGAGAUGGCCUCGCGUCCGAUUAGCUAGUUGGUGAGGUAACGGCCCACCAAGGCAACGAUCGGUAGCCGGACUGAGAGGUUGAACGGCCACAUUGGGACUGAGACACGGCCCAGACUCCUACGGGAGGCAGCAGUGGGGAAUAUUGCACAAUGGGGGAAACCCUGAUGCAGCGACGCCGCGUGGAGGAAGAAGGUCUUCGGAUUGUAAACUCCUGUUGUUGAGGAAGAUAAUGACGGUACUCAACAAGGAAGUGACGGCUAACUACGUGCCAGCAGCCGCGGUAAAACGUAGGUCACAAGCGUUGUCCGGAAUUACUGGGUGUAAAGGGAGCGCAGGCGGGAAGACAAGUUGGAAGUGAAAUCCAUGGGCUCAACCCAUGAACUGCUUCAAAA